GUCUACGGCCAUGCCACCCUGAACAAGCCCGAUCCCAUCUGAUCUUGGAAGCUAAGCAGGGUCAGGCCUGGUUAGUACUUGGAUGGGAGACCACCUAGGAAGACCAGGUGCUGUAGGCU
rnacentral:rRNA from 1 species